UCUCCGUAGGUGAACCUGCGGAGGGAUCAUUACAGAGUUCAUGCCCUACCGGGUAGAUCUCCCACCCUAUGUUAUUAUUACUUUGUUGCUUUGGCGGGCCGUUAGGCUCCGGCCCGACUACCGGCCCCGGCUGGUAAGCGCCCGCCAGAGGACCCAAAACCCUGAAUAUUAGUGUCGUCUGAGUACUAUAUAAUAGUUAAACUUUCAACAACGGAUCUCUUGGUUCUG
rnacentral:misc_RNA from 1 species